rnacentral:tRNA from 1 species
CGACGCGCCGGUCAGGAGACCCCGCGCCUGGAGGGUGCGCCGCAGCCACCGUGCGAGGUCGGCGCGCGUCGGC